UACGGAGGGGACUAGCGUUGUUCGGAAUUACUGGGCGUAAAGCGCACGUAGGCGGAUUUGUAAGUCAGGGGUGAAAUCCCGGGGCUCAACCUCGGAACUGCCUUUGAUACUGCAAAUCUUGAGUCCGGAAGAGGUGAGUGGAAUUCCUAGUGUAGAGGUGAAGUUCGUAGAUAUUAGGAAGAACACCAGUGGCGAAGGCGGCUCACUGGUCCGGUACUGACGCUGAGGUGCGAAAGCGUGGGGAGCAAACAGG
rnacentral:rRNA from 1 species